ACCAGAUUUUUAUUAAAUUGAUGCAAAAGUAAUUGCAGUUUCUGCCAAUAAAAGUAAUGCCAAAAACAACAAUUGCUUUUGCACCAACCUAAUA
rnacentral:miRNA from 10 species